GCUUAUUACGCAAUGCAUUUUGCACCUCAGUUGCCCGCUCAAGCUGUUGGCAUAACGAUUGGGCGUUAUUACCAAAAACGUUGAGUAUUAAUGUCGUCAUCAUCAUUGAUAAAACAGUGGGAUUGAUAUGCAAAAAGUCAGGCAAUGAUGGACGCUUAUGAUCUCCGGGUACGGCAUCAAGCAGUUGCUUCAACGCAUUGCUUGCCUCCUGAAGACUAAUUUUCCCGGAUAGCAGACACGCGGCGUUGCCAUCGCCAAAAGUAGAAUUCACACGAUGCUGGCGCUUUCCCAGCGAACCCGAGGAAACGCAACUGACAUUGCUUAAGUGAUGAUGUGUUAAGGCGGUUACUCCUGCGGCGCUAUCGCUAUUAC
rnacentral:misc_RNA from 1 species